rnacentral:rRNA from 1 species
GACGAACGCUGGCGGCGUGCCUAAUACAUGCAAGUCGAACGCAGUGGGGACGGGUGAGUAACACGUGGGUAACCUCCCAUCAGAGGGGAUAACACUUGGAAACAGGUGCUAAACCGAUACUGAUGGAUGGACCCGCGGUGCAUUAGCUAGUUGGUGAGGUACCGGCCCACCAAGGACACGAUGCAUAGCAGACCGGAGAGGGUGAUAGGCAACCCGGGGACGGAAACACGGCCCAGACCCCUACGGGAGGCGGCGGUAGGGAAUCUUCGGCAAGGGACGAAAGUCUAACCGAGAAACGCCGCGUGAGUGAAGAAGGUUUUCGGAUCGUAAAACUCUGUUGUUAGAGAAGCGGUAUCUAACCAGAAAGCCACGGCUAACUACGUGCCAGCCGCCGCGGUAAUAC